rnacentral:rRNA from 1 species
GCAACGCGAAGAACCUUACAUGGUCUUGACAUCCCGAUGACGAGUGAGCAAAGUCACUUUCCUUUCGGGGCAUUGGAGACAGGUGGUGCAUGGUUGUCGUCAGCUCGUGUCGUGAGAUGUUGGGUUAAGUCCCGCAACGAGCGCAACCCCUAUUUCCAGUAGCCAGCAGGUAGAGGUGGGCACUCUGGAGAGACUGCCCGGGAUAACCGGGAGGAAGGCGGGGAUGACGUCAAAUCAUCAUGCCCCUUAUGAUCAGGGCUACACACGUGCUACAAUGGCGUAAACAAAGGGAAGCGAGACGGUGACGUUAAGCAAAUCCCAAAAAUAACGUCCCAGUUCGGAUUGUAGUCUGCAACUCGACUACAUGAAGCUGGAAUCGCUAGUAAUCGCGAAUCAGAAUGUCGCGGUGAAUACGUUCCCGGGUCUUGUACACACCGCCCGUCACACCAUGGGAGUCGGAAAUGCCCGAAGUCAGUGACCUAACCGAAAGGAAGGAGCUGCCGAAGGUGGAGCCGGUAACUGGGGUGAAGUCGUAACAAGGUAACCGU